AUAUACUACCAUUAGUACACCAAUUUUAACAAUAUCACGUACACCGUCGGCUGAGUUUAAAUAAAAAUUGCUACAUAUUUUUGAAAUAUAGCAAAAUUAGACUUUUUAGAUUCACAUAAAAAU
rnacentral:sRNA from 1 species